rnacentral:rRNA from 1 species
UAGUCCGCACGAGCGCAACCCCUGUCCUUAGUUUGCCAUCAGGUUAAUGCUGGGAACUCUAAGUGAGUACUGCCGGUGACAAGCCGGAGGAAGGUGGGGAUGACGUCAAGUCCUCAUGGUCCUUACGCCCUGGGCUGGAAGCGUGCUACAAUGGCCGGUACGAUGGGCUGCGAUACCGCGAGGUGGAGCCAAUCCCAAAAAACCGGCCCCAGUUGGGAUUGCAGUCUGCAACUCGACUGCAUGAACGUGGAAUUGCUAGUAAUCGCGGAUCAGCACGCCGCGGUGAAUACGUUCCCGGGUCUUGUACACACCGCCCGUCAAGCUAGGAAAGCUGGAAAUGCCUGAAGUCGCAGCCCUAACCCGCGAGGGAGGGGAGUGCCGAGGGCAGAGCUGGCGAUUCGAGCUAAGUCGUAACAAGGUAGCCGUACCGGAAGGUGCGGCUGGAUCACCUCCUUU